rnacentral:rRNA from 1 species
CUACGGGGCGCUGCAGUGGGGAAUAUUGGACAAUGGGCGCAAGCCUGAUCCAGCCAUGCCGCGUGGAUGAUGAAGGCCCUAGGGUUGUAAAGUCCUUUCGGCGGGGAAGAUAAUGACGGUACCCGCAGAAGAAGCCCCGGCUAACUUCGUGCCAGCAGCCGCGGUAAUACGAAGGGGGCUAGCGUUGCUCGGAAUCACUGGGCGUAUAGCGCACGUAGGCGGCUUCUUAAGUCAGGGGUGAAAUCCUGGAGCUCAACUCCAGAACUGCCUUUGAUACUGAGGAGCUCGAGUCCGGGAGAGGUGAGUGGAACUGCGAGUGUAGAGGUGAAAUUCGUAGAUAUUCGCAAGAACACCAGUGGCGAAGGCGGCUCACUGGCCCGGUACUGACGCUGAGGUGCGAAAGCGUGGGGAGCAAACAGGAUUAGAUACCCUCGUAGUC